rnacentral:rRNA from 1 species
CGAGUGAAGCGGUACCAGCUCAAAUUUGAAAUCUGGCUCCUCUGGAGUCCGAGUUGUAAUUUGUAGAAGAUGCUUUGGGUUGUGGGUUCGGCCUAAGUUCCUUGGAACAGGACGUCAUAGAGGGUGAGAAUCCCGUAUGUGGCCGAGGCCCGCGCCUAUGUAAAGCUCUUUCAACGAGUCGAGUUGUUUGGGAAUGCAGCUCAAAAUGGGUGGUAAAUUUCAUCUAAAGCUAAAUAUGGGCCAGAGACCGAUAGCGCACAAGUAGAGUGAUCGAAAGAUGAAAAGCACUUUGGAAAGAGAGUUAAACAGUACGUGAAAUUGUUGAAAGGGAAGCGCUUGCACCCAGACUUGGGCGCUGCUGAUCACCUUGCGGUCUCCGCGAGUGCACUCGACAGCGCACAGGCCAGCAUCGGUUCGGGUGGCUGGAUAAAGGCCGUAGGAACGUAGCUCCCUUCGGGGAGUGUUAUAGCCUACGGUGCCAUGCAGCCCAGCCGGACCGAGGACCGCGCCUUCGGGCUAGGAUGCUGGCGUAAUGGG